AGUGAACGCUGGCGGUAGGCCUAACACAUGCAAGUCGAACGGCAGCACAGUAAGAGCUUGCUCUUACGGGUGGCGAGUGGCGGACGGGUGAGGAAUACAUCGGAAUCUACUUUUUCGUGGGGGAUAACGUAGGGAAACUUACGCUAAUACCGCAUACGACCUACGGGUGAAAGAAGGGGAUCUUCGGACCUUGCGCGAUUGAAUGAGCCGAUGUCGGAUUAGCUAGUUGGCGGGGUAAAGGCACACCAAGGCGACGAUCCGUAGCUGGUCUGAGAGGAUGAUCAGCCACACUGGAACUGAGACACGGUCCAGACUCCUACGGGAGGCAGCAGUGGGGAAUAUUGGACAAUGGGCGCAAGCCUGAUCCAGCCAUACCGCGUGGGUGAAGAAGGCCUUCGGGUUGUAAAGCCCUUUUGUUGGGAAAGAAAAGCAGCAGGUUAAUACCCCGCUGUUCUGACGGUACCCAAAGAAUAAGCACCGGCUAACUUCGUG
rnacentral:rRNA from 1 species